CAUUUCUCUGCAUCAGAACUUAGUAACGUGAAUCAAAAUGUGAUGACAGUUGUGGGGUUGUUUGUUUGUUUCCAGCAAAUCUGAUCAAACUGGAUCUAAACAGAGCUAGUGAAUCAAGUUUACUCAGCUUUUGCAUGCCAAACUUUUGAAGUCUACUUGAAAUGAAGCUUGGUUGUUGACAUCACUGAAAACCUCAGUGUUUCACUGAAAUUCAACUUCAUUUAAUAGUGUUCCCUCCAAAAUGUUGACCUUAAGUGUCUUAAACUGCUAACAAUGCUUACCAAACAUUAUGUGUGCUUGUUGGGCUACAGUGCAUGACAGUAAAGCUUGUUAGAGGAUCCAGGGAAUCCUCAGAUUUGUUGGGCUUUCAUGCAUUUUUUGUAAAACCAAAAUUUGAAUUCAGGCCUGUAAUGCCACUAGUCUGUUGUCCAUGACAUUAAACUGAUAGAAAGUGCUAAAAUUACACAUAAGAGGAAGCAACAACUAACAAAAUCUGUUCAUGAGACUUCAUUCAUUAAUAAUCACUAUUAUUUGCAUCAUGAGCUACAGCUGUGUUAACGGUGUACUUGCCUUGAACUGUAUAUUUUGCUCUUAUAUUUCCAUUGUAUAUAUUUUUUAGUGUGUGUUAAUAUUGCCUUAUAUAGUUUAUUUUUUAAUGCUGCUGUAUGGAGAGUGCUAAACUGAUUUUUAUUGUUUUCUGUAACAGUGACAAAGAUCUAUUCUCUUCUAGUCUUCUAUUCUAUUUGAGAAUUUCAUAUGCUUUAUACCACUGUCGAAUUUCUGAGGCACUUAAUAGUGCAUCCACUCAGUCCCUCAGCUAAAUCAACAAAAAGUAAGAAGUAAAUGUACUGAAGAAUGUAGUAAAUCAACCACAGUGCACCAGUCAAACUAUAGGACUGGAGAAAAAUGAAUGCAACUCAGAGAAUAUUAAUGUAGAGAACACUAUCAUGGCAGAAACCGGUAGAAAAGUAGAACAAAAACCCACCAAGGACAUGCUGUAUAUGCUGAUUUCUUAGGAAAAACUUUGUGCAUAUUUAGUGAUGAGUAUCUAGUAUUUUAGAGAUAUAUUUAACCAAGCUGUCAGGGGCUUCAGGAUGAAUUAGAAAGUGUUUCUACAAAGGAUCUGACAGCUCAAAUGGAAGUGUUGUUUAAAUCUUUAAAUCUAUCCUCCUCGUGGGAGAACAGUGCAGUACAGAAUCGUGACUAAUAUGAGGGAAGCCUCCGAGGGCUUGUUUGCGAAAAACUUGUCUGUCAAUGUGACUAAUUUUAGGAAUCAACCGGAAGAUCAGUGAAAUUACGAGAGAACCGCUGACGUGAGCAUUCAGCUCCAACCAAAAACAAACACUGUGAUAUCCUCUUCAAAACAUCAACUCACGGAAUCCCCCGCCACUGCUGGGCCGGUCUGAUGGAGAGUCCUCUAAAACAGGCCCUGCGUGAUCUCUCACACUGGGCCCCUGUUGGCACCUCAUCUGGCUCCCAGCCUGACCCACAACACCCCCCCCAGAGGAACAUAUGUAGCCGAGGAGGAGGCAGCAUGCAAUCAGCGCCUUAUUUUUGCAGCACACAGGAUGUAGGGCGAUUGACAAAACAUAAGAAAGCUCAGACACUCCUGUCUGGAGGAGAAUCGGUUUUGGUUUCCUCCGCAGCCUCCGAACACAAACGGUCUGCAUUCCCCCGUUCGGAUGUGAAAAUACCAGAGGAGAACGAAA